rnacentral:rRNA from 1 species
AACGAACGCUGGCGGCAUGCCUAACACAUGCAAGUCGAACGACACCUUCGGGUCUAGUGGCGCACGCGUGCGUAACGCGUGGGAACCUUCCCUUAGGUUCGGAAUAACUCCCCUAAAGGGGUGCUAAUACCGGAUAAUGUCCUCUGACCAAAGAUUGAUCGCCUUUGGUUGGGCCCGCGUUGGAUUAGCCAGUUGGUAGGGUAAAAGCCUACCAAGGCGACGAUCCAUAGCUGGUCUGAGAGGAUGAUCAGCCACACUGGGACUGAGACACGGCCCAGACUACUACGCGAGGCAGCAGUGGGGAAUAUUGGAAAAUGGGCGAAAGCAUGAUCCAGCAAUGCUGGGUGAGUGAUGAAGGCGUUAGGGUUGUAAAGCUCUUUUACCCGGGAUGAUAAUGACAGUACCGGGAGAAUAAGCUCCGGCUAACUCCGUG